AAAACUAGAGUUUUGAAAAGGUAAAAUUUAGGAAUUAGGCUAAAUGUUAACAUUUUUACCAUAGCAUUUAGCUAGUCCUUAUAGCACUUUGAUUUUUAUGACAUUAUUAUAAAGUUGAGCAGGAAUAUUGAGAAAUAGAAAGAUAAUAGAAAGUAAUUAGUUGCAAAAUAAUUUUAAGUACUAAUCUUUCAGUACCAAGCAUUUCUAAUGCACUCAUGUUGACAAAUAAAAAAACUAUAAUUUCCUAUCUACAAAUUAUCCUAUAAAAUUAAAGAUGAAAAACCAUAGCAUUUGGGGGAGGUAGCUUGGGGAAGUGGGGAAUGGGAUGGGACAGAUAACAUAGUGGUUAAGAAGUUUGACUUAGUUUAUACUUGCUAAUAAGAAGCAAAACCAGGAACAAAACUCAAGUUUUGAUAGACCAUUUCCUAGUUUACUGAGUCACCCCCUAUUUUUUCUUUUUAAGCUAAAUUUGAUGAGCCCUAUAUCACGUAACUGUUUUCAAGAUUUUUUUCCUGCAUGAUUUCACCUCACCCCAUAGCCAGAGUCAGUGUGGUUUUAGUAAGCAUCAAUCAGUCAGGAAAAUAAGCCAUUUAGCCCUAGCUCUGCAUCUUAUUUCAUGUGUGAAAAGUCACUAAUCCUAUCUGUGCUUCAGAUUCCUCUUAUAAAAUAGAGGUCAUUUCUACCAAGAAUUCUGAGGCAGUGAUAUAACAUUUCAUUGAAUUUCUUAAAUGGAGUAGUCCCAAGUUCAGAGUACUGUACUCCUUGGUGAUACAUUAAGAAGGGAUGUGCCCAGAGGACUCUAGCUUGGACUAUAGCUGACUGAGAUGACCAGCACUGAUGAUAUGAAGUGGAUAAGGGGCAGAGAAAAAUGGUUUGAGAGACUUUCUACUCCAUACCCCAUUUUUAAUGACCCAAGUAUAUUUGAUAGCAGAGUAAUAAACUGGUAGGUGGCUGCAGUAGAAGAAGGACUUCAGAGUGGUGAUUGGGACCUGAAAAUUCUGCAGAGGGGCAAAUGGAACAUAAAAUAGAAGAUGAAAACCUUUAAAGGGGGAAGAGGAUGGAAGAGAGAUUAAGACUACUGGGAUUUACACUCUGGGUGUUUUCUUUCAGGUUUUCGAAGUAGAAAGUGAUCAUCCUUCUUUACGCUGUGGUCAUCCUGGAUGAAGAUACAUUUGACCAGAUGGACCUCAGGUGGGGCAAUACACAGAAGAAAGAAGCAGCAGCCUCAACUAGUUUGACUGUAGUCAUAUUUUCAUAAUAAAACAUUAUGAAACUAGAA